rnacentral:ncRNA from 1 species
GAGGCAGAAUUCACCAAGCGUUGGAUUGUUCACCCACUAAUAUGGAAAUUGAGCUGGGUUUAGAACGCCGUGAGAUAAGUUAGUUUUGCCCUACUGAUGGUUGAACUGUGUAAACAGUGAAGUAUAAUCUGGCCGUUUCAAUGGUAAUCCUGUUUAGUACAAGAGGAACCGCAUCUUCAGACAUUUGGUAAAUGUCAGGGUGCAGUGCUCUGACAGAUUAAGACUACUAGUUAUCGGCGCGUCGUUUGAAAUUGCUUUCGAAUUUCAGCUCCUUUGAGUGUACGAAGUUUUAGUCUCUACCUUAGUGUAGAAGACACGUUGAUUUGGAAUAACUCUUGAGUUGAUUGUCCAGUCUCUAAAUUUGGGAAAUAUUUUCUUGGACUUAACGAUUCUGCGGCUAUCCAAAUAUUCCAUCACUGAGGAUUAUUCCACGUCCAGGACAUUAUCCCUACGAGAAAUACAAGCUUCAGCGUUCAC